GUCAAGGACGUUCUGCUAGGCAAUGCACAGAACCAUUGAUCAUUGUUUUUCUUCACUGUUUACAGAGAAUCUCUUGGCAACAGAAGUGUCUUUGCCAUGCAGAAAGAAUUCAGAGUGCUGCAAGGUUUUGGCUUUUUGGAACAACACAUUAAGCACCUACUAUGUGCCAGUCACUGUGCCAGGAGUUGGAAAUAUGAGGAAGACCGUAAUUCUCAUAAUGAGAAUACAAGGAAGACCAUCUCUCAAGAAAGGAACAUCAUAAAACAUGUUUACUGUCAAGUCCUUGUCAUUAUCAAAAAUAUCUCCAGAUUGAUGUCAUUCUGAGAAAAGUGAUUUCAUACUGAAAAAAAUUCUACAAAAAUAGUAAAACUCUUCUUCUCAAUUUUCAGAACUUGGAUGGGGUUGGGGGCAGGUGCUUUCAUCUAUUUUCAUCUUGUCCUGGUAGAAAUUAUUUGCUUGAUUAACAUUUUGGUGGAGAAGUUCAGUCUCUAAGGCUACAGAUGAGAAGAUCAGUUACUGGAUGGGUUCCUAACUUCAAUGUCAAAUCCAAGAGCCUGAAAAUAAAGGAUGGAAAGAAAGGGAAACAAAGAAAAGUUAUCAGACAAUGUGAAGACAUUUUAUGGAGAGGAAGAAAGAGUGAGUGAGCACAGGAAAAAUCACAAAGCAGUAUAUGAAGAAAAGAAAGAGAUAACAGUUAUUAGUAAGUAAAGAGAUAAUUAAGAGAUAAUCCUUUCAGUGGCAUGAACACCAUAGUUUGUGACAUCACUGGUCAUUAAUGAUUUGUGAGAAGCAGUGUCUCAACUAUGUUUCUGUUACAUUAAUUAUACCCAAAAUAAAAU
rnacentral:lncRNA from 1 species